CCAAAUCUCAAUAUCUCAUAUGGUCUCAAAAAAUCCGAACCUGCAAGACGGAUUCUAUUUGGAACCGAACGGAAUGGCCCUACCCGGAUUUGGACCGGUCGCCGCUGCAUCCACUACAUCUUCAUCGGAGGAUCCGUCUAAGAAGAUCCGAAAACCCUACACCAUCACCAAGUCCAGAGAAAGCUGGACCGAACCUGAGCACGACAAAUUCCUCGAAGCUCUUCAACUCUUUGAUCGUGACUGGAAAAAGAUUAAAGCAUUUGUUGGGUCAAAAUCAGUUAUUCAGUUAUUGCAGCAAUUUCUCAAUGAAUUAAAGGUUCAGAAGAAUGGAACCAAUGAACACUUGCCUCCCCCUAGGCCUAAAAGGAAGGCUGCUUAUCCAUAUCCACAGAAAGCCACAAAAAAUGCCCC
rnacentral:misc_RNA from 1 species